UUAAGCGACUAAGCGUACACGGUGGAUGCCCUGGCAGUCAGAGGCGAUGAAGGACGUGCUAAUCUGCGAUAAGCGUCGGUAAGGUGAUAUGAACCGUUAUAACCGGCGAUUUCCGAAUGGGGAAACCCAGUGUGUUUCGACACACUAUCAUUAACUGAAUCCAUAGGUUAAUGAGGCGAACCGGGGGAACUGAAACAUCUAAGUACCCCGAGGAAAAGAAAUCAACCGAGAUUCCCCCAGUAGCGGCGAGCGAACGGGGAGCAGCCCAGAGCCUGAAUCAGUGUGUGUGUUAGUGGAAGCGUCUGGAAAGGCGUGCGAUACAGGGUGACAGCCCCGUACACAAAAAUGCACAUGCUGUGAGCUCGAUGAGUAGGGCGGGACACGUGGUAUCCUGUCUGAAUAUGGGGGGACCAUCCUCCAAGGCUAAAUACUCCUGACUGACCGAUAGUGAACCAGUACCGUGAGGGAAAGGCGAAAAGAACCCCGGCGAGGGGAGUGAAAAAGAACCUGAAACCGUGUACGUACAAGCAGUGGGAGCACGCUUAGGCGUGUGACUGCGUACCUUUUGUAUAAUGGGUCAGCGACUUAUAUUCUGUAGCAAGGUUAACCGAAUAGGGGAGCCGAAGGGAAACCGAGUCUUAACUGGGCGUUAAGUUGCAGGGUAUAGACCCGAAACCCGGUGAUCUAGCCAUGGGCAGGUUGAAGGUUGGGUAACACUAACUGGAGGACCGAACCGACUAAUGUUGAAAAAUUAGCGGAUGACUUGUGGCUGGGGGUGAAAGGCCAAUCAAACCGGGAGAUAGCUGGUUCUCCCCGAAAGCUAUUUAGGUAGCGCCUCGUGAAUUCAUCUCCGGGGGUAGAGCACUGUUUCGGCAAGGGGGUCAUCCCGACUUACCAACCCGAUGCAAACUGCGAAUACCGGAGAAUGUUAUCACGGGAGACACACGGCGGGUGCUAACGUCCGUCGUGAAGAGGGAAACAACCCAGACCGCCAGCUAAGGUCCCAAAGUCAUGGUUAAGUGGGAAACGAUGUGGGAAGGCCCAGACAGCCAGGAUGUUGGCUUAGAAGCAGCCAUCAUUUAAAGAAAGCGUAAUAGCUCACUGGUCGAGUCGGCCUGCGCGGAAGAUGUAACGGGGCUAAACCAUGCACCGAAGCUGCGGCAGCGACACUAUGUGUUGUUGGGUAGGGGAGCGUUCUGUAAGCCUGUGAAGGUGUGCUGUGAGGCAUGCUGGAGGUAUCAGAAGUGCGAAUGCUGACAUAAGUAACGAUAAAGCGGGUGAAAAGCCCGCUCGCCGGAAGACCAAGGGUUCCUGUCCAACGUUAAUCGGGGCAGGGUGAGUCGACCCCUAAGGCGAGGCCGAAAGGCGUAGUCGAUGGGAAACAGGUUAAUAUUCCUGUACUUGGUGUUACUGCGAAGGGGGGACGGAGAAGGCUAUGUUGGCCGGGCGACGGUUGUCCCGGUUUAAGCGUGUAGGCUGGUUUUCCAGGCAAAUCCGGAAAAUCAAGGCUGAGGCGUGAUGACGAGGCACUACGGUGCUGAAGCAACAAAUGCCCUGCUUCCAGGAAAAGCCUCUAAGCAUCAGGUAACAUCAAAUCGUACCCCAAACCGACACAGGUGGUCAGGUAGAGAAUACCAAGGCGCUUGAGAGAACUCGGGUGAAGGAACUAGGCAAAAUGGUGCCGUAACUUCGGGAGAAGGCACGCUGAUAUGUAGGUGAGGUCCCUCGCGGAUGGAGCUGAAAUCAGUCGAAGAUACCAGCUGGCUGCAACUGUUUAUUAAAAACACAGCACUGUGCAAACACGAAAGUGGACGUAUACGGUGUGACGCCUGCCCGGUGCCGGAAGGUUAAUUGAUGGGGUUAGCGCAAGCGAAGCUCUUGAUCGAAGCCCCGGUAAACGGCGGCCGUAACUAUAACGGUCCUAAGGUAGCGAAAUUCCUUGUCGGGUAAGUUCCGACCUGCACGAAUGGCGUAAUGAUGGCCAGGCUGUCUCCACCCGAGACUCAGUGAAAUUGAACUCGCUGUGAAGAUGCAGUGUACCCGCGGCAAGACGGAAAGACCCCGUGAACCUUUACUAUAGCUUGACACUGAACAUUGAGCCUUGAUGUGUAGGAUAGGUGGGAGGCUUUGAAGUGUGGACGCCAGUCUGCAUGGAGCCGACCUUGAAAUACCACCCUUUAAUGUUUGAUGUUCUAACGUGGACCCGUGAUCCGGGUUGCGGACAGUGUCUGGUGGGUAGUUUGACUGGGGCGGUCUCCUCCUAAAGAGUAACGGAGGAGCACGAAGGUUGGCUAAUCCUGGUCGGACAUCAGGAGGUUAGUGCAAUGGCAUAAGCCAGCUUGACUGCGAGCGUGACGGCGCGAGCAGGUGCGAAAGCAGGUCAUAGUGAUCCGGUGGUUCUGAAUGGAAGGGCCAUCGCUCAACGGAUAAAAGGUACUCCGGGGAUAACAGGCUGAUACCGCCCAAGAGUUCAUAUCGACGGCGGUGUUUGGCACCUCGAUGUCGGCUCAUCACAUCCUGGGGCUGAAGUAGGUCCCAAGGGUAUGGCUGUUCGCCAUUUAAAGUGGUACGCGAGCUGGGUUUAGAACGUCGUGAGACAGUUCGGUCCCUAUCUGCCGUGGGCGCUGGAGAACUGAGGGGGGCUGCUCCUAGUACGAGAGGACCGGAGUGGACGCAUCACUGGUGUUCGGGUUGUCAUGCCAAUGGCACUGCCCGGUAGCUAAAUGCGGAAGAGAUAAGUGCUGAAAGCAUCUAAGCACGAAACUUGCCCCGAGAUGAGUUCUCCCUGACUCCUUGAGAGUCCUGAAGGAACGUUGAAGACGACGACGUUGAUAGGCCGGGUGUGUAAGCGCAGCGAUGCGUUGAGCUAACCGGUACUAAUGAACCGUGAGGCUUAACCUU
rnacentral:rRNA from 1 species